rnacentral:rRNA from 1 species
CGCGCAGGCGGCUCUACAAGUCAGGCGUUAAAGACCCAGGCUCAACCUGGGGAAUGCGCUUGAUACUGUGGGGCUUGAGAUCGGAAGAGGAGAGUGGAAUUCCCAGUGUAGAGGUGAAAUUCGUAGAUAUUGGGAAGAACACCAGUGGCGAAGGCGGCUCUCUGGUCCGAUUCUGACGCUGAGGCGCGAAAGCGUGGGGAGCAAACAGGAUUAGAUACCCUGGUAGUCCACGCCGUAAACGAUGUGUGCUGGACGUUGGCAGGCCUAGCCUGUCGGUGUCGUAGCUAACGCGUUAAGCACACCGCCUGGGGAGUACGGCCGCAAGGUUAAA